AUAAAACGCAUAUAUAAAAAUUGUACAAUACACUAUAAAUCAGUUAAAAAUUUAACUUACAUUGGACAUUUAUAAAAUGCAUUAUAAAAUACAGAUAGGUGUGUUCAAGUUUAAGAGACUGGGUCUGUCAAUUGAGUUCCAGCGUACAUAAUAGUAAUUAACGCUGCUAAUUGUUAUUUUUUUUAACACAGGGCUGAAGAGGGUUAACCAGGUUUACUCUGCAUUAAGCACCAUACGUUGCAGACCACCGUAGGGACAGUUAGGAGUGACUGAACAGUUUCCAAGGAAGGAGCUUCUACCACACUUCAAGGCAAAGAGUUCCACUGUUGAACAGCUCAUACAGUCAGGAAGUUCUUCUUAACGUUCAGGCUAAACAUACCCAGCUCUUUAAGACACUCUUCAUAGGGCACGGUCUCCAGACCUUUGAUCAUUUGAGUUGCCAUCCUCUGGACACCUUCCAGCUUGUCAAUAUCUCUUUUUGAACUGUGGUGCCCAGAAUUGGACAGAGUAUUCCAGCUUGGCAUCAUUCCCGUCUCCAUGGCUGACUUCCAUUGCUGACUGCUGGCUUCACCUUCGACUCCGACGCUGUUCUCCAAUUCUGACUCCGGACCAGUUUGACUUCACUACGAUGUUUCGUUCCCUUGACAUCUGGCUUGGCUUUCGACUCCACAGCAGCUUGUCGCUAUUGCCUCAGCGUUUUCCUGCUUUGUUUGCCUGCGCCGCUUUUGGCGAAUAACUUUAGCCCGGUUUGGGCUUUCUCUUUAGUUUUGGGCUUUUUGCUGUACUUUUGGGGUUUUGGGGAGGUUUUUGGCCUUUGGGAUUUCUCGUCCUUGUUUGUUUUGCCGUUUUGACUCUGUCUUGCAAUUUUGAGCUGUCUUCAAGCACUUUGGUUUUAAUCCGGACUAUAUCUCCGGAUAAUCCGGAUUAUAUUCCGGUUUGCGUUUUUGAGGUUUCUUUGCUCUGAACUGUUUAAUCACACUGAAGUUAAAGUGUUGUGAGCUCUAAGGACUUUGUGCUGAACUUUUUUGAGUUAUUUUUGAAUAAACUAUAUUU